GGACCUGUCACUGUCACAUUGCUCAGAAAUUGGAUUCUGCAGAGUGGAAACAUGUGGCUUGUUGGCAAGGCAACUGGUUCAGAGCAGGGACAUUUCCAGGCUGAGAACGCCUUGUCCAUUGGGUUACAGACCUCGUAAAAACCUGUUUGUGUGUUUUUUCUUUUCCUUCCUUUUUUUCUGAGAUGGAGUCUUAUCUUUUGCUCAGGCUGGAGUGCUGUGGUGUGAUCUUGGCUCCCUGCAACCUCGCCUCCUGGGUUCCAGCGAUUCUCCUGCCUCAGCCUCCCAGAUUUAAAGGAAUCUGGGGAUCAGUUGCUGUCCAACACUUCCUGGCUAUUGACCACAUCGCAGAAGGGAGGAGUAACCACCUGCUCCUUGGUCCUGCAGCUCAAAGCAGCUUCUUGGAAGAUGAUGAAACUGGGGCACAAAAAACGUAAAGUAUUGUGUGCAGGGCCAGAGCUGGAAGGUGGAGGAGCUUGGAUUUGAACCCGAAGUCAACCUUCAGUCCUUACGCGAGCCACUGGACUGUGUAAGUAGAGUUUGCUCUUUCCUUCCAGACACUUGGCAGAGCAGGGAGCGGACCUGGUUUGGGUGAGAGGGGACGAGGAUGAGUCCGUGAACAGCAGAGGAUGGGGCAAAGGGUAAUGUGAGCAAUGUGGUAUUUGUCACCAGGGGCCGGGCAGAUUGUCUAGGCAUGAGUUCAUCUGCAGAAGCUGGACAGAGAGGCAGAAAUCAAGUGUUUGAAAAUGAGAAGUGCUUGAUUCUGGGAUGAGGCUUCACUCUCUAGCUUUUUUUUUUUUUUUUUUGGAAACAGUCUUGCUCUGUCCUCCAGGCUGGAGUGCACUGCCUUAGCCUCCCAAGUAGCUGGGAUUACAGGUGCCCGCCACCACACCUGGGUAAUUUUUGUAUUUUUAGUAGAGAUGGGGUUUCACCAUAUUGGUCGGGCUGGUCUCGAACUCCUGGCCUCAGGUGAUCUGCCCAUCUCGACCUCUCAAAUCUUGGGAUUACAGGCAUGAGCCACUGCACCUGGCCCCUUGUAGCAUUUUUAUCUCAAGCUCAUUGUGCUUCUGAGUUCACCUUGGCAGAGGAAGAGAGCACGAGGAAUCAAACACCAGCUCUGAAACACCUCCCCCUGGAAGUGACACAUGUCAGUUUUUGCUUACGAUUCAUUGACCAAAGCCAGUGAAAUGGCCAUGACUAACUUCAAGGGAGUGGGAGGCAAGGAGAAAUGGACGUGUGAGAGAAGACAGGAUCUAGACUGCCUCUAAAACUGCUGGGGAGAGAGUGGGGAAGGUUUACAUAGG
rnacentral:lncRNA from 1 species